rnacentral:tRNA from 1 species
GGGGGUGUAGCUCAGUUGGCAGAGCAUCUGCUUUGCACGCAGAAGGUCAGCGGUUCGAAUCCGCUCACCUCCA